GACGAACGCUGGCGGCGCGCUUAACACAUGCAAGUCGAACGGAAAGGCCUGCUUUCCCUUGUGGAUUGCGGGUACUCGAGUGGCGAACGGGUGAGUAACACGUGAGUGAUCUGCCCCCAACUUGGGUAUAAGCCUGGGAAACUGGGUCUAAUUCCCGAUAGGACUGCAGGGUGGUGCCUGUGGUGGAAAACGAUUUUCUAGUGGUUGGGGAUGAGCUCGCGGCCUAUCAGCUUGUUGGUGGGGUAAUGGCCUACCAAGGUGGCGACGGGUAGCCGGCCUGAGAGGGUGGACGGCCACAUUGGGACUGAGAUACGGCCCAGACUCCUACGGGAGGCAGCAGUGGGGAAUAUUGCACAAUGGGCGGAAGCCUGAUGCAGCGACGCCGCGUGGGGGAUGACGGCCUUCGGGUGGUAAACUCCUUUCGACCGCGAGGAAGCCACCUGGUUGGAAGGGUGGUGACGGUAGUGGUAGAAGAAGCACCGGCUAACUACGUG
rnacentral:rRNA from 1 species